AUUACAGAUUCCACAUUGUAGCUAAUCUUCAUUAAACUACCACGUGGUGAAUUAUAACAUAGUAUCCAAGAAGCAUACUGACACCUUCUUUGUUGUCCCCACUAUGUAUCUGUGAGAGGGCAGAUUUUCUUCAUAUACAUUAAUCAAAGCAAUGUACGGCAACAGACUGAACGCAGAGGCAGGUUUCCAGGGACUCUGUUGCAACGAAUUCUGCUCCUGCCCAUCAAGUCUGAGGUGCUUCAUCAGUUGGACUGUCCAAAUCUCAAGUCAGAAUUUGUCCAUCGCUGCUCCUGCCAUUCCCCCUAUCGUGACUCUAUCCCCGAAACCUAGGCUUGGCUGGGAACAAGAGCUUCAAAUCAGACUCUUUUAGGUUUUCCUAACAAGACUGCUGCAAAUGAGGGUUGAGCCCUAGCUGAAGGCCUCAUGCUUUCAUGCCCUUUGCUUGUGCACCCACUAACAAGCCAGGGUGAGGAGAGGCAAAGACAGCAGCAUUUACCUACAGAAUCUUUUCCUGGCAGGAGCAAAAUUGAUAGUGGAACACAUGAGGGCAGUUCCACAGGGUCCUUGAAAAAAGUGUUGGAUUUGUCAAGAAAAAUAUGAUUCGUUAGUGAGCAAGAAAGAGAACAAGACAAUUUAAAAACAUUUCCAUUAAAGAUGAGCAUGUCAAUUUCAGGUGUAAGUGGCAUAGCAGAAAUGAGAGGCUGCGCUGUCUGCAUGCAAAGCUGGACCAUAGCACCACUGCUUCCCUGGAGAACAUUUUGCUUUACCCUGUAAGCAUAUCCUGGAAGCACCCUCUCUUCAAAGCAGGGGUGUGUGAGAACUCAUUUCCGUAACAAUGUGGAGCACAUCAAGAAAGAUUGUAUUGAAACUUCCAGAUAGAACUUACGGGGACCCAGACCCAGCAGUGGCUGUGAGGAUGAAGAGUCAGUGGGAUCUGGGACCUCAGAUAGAUCCGAGAAAUAUGCAGUAGAGGGGAUGAACAGCGUUGUAUAGAUCCUUGAUGUGAGAAGGAAAAGCGAGAUGAAUGA